rnacentral:rRNA from 1 species
AGAGUUUGAUCCUGGCUCAGGACGAACGCUGGCGGCGUGCUUAACACAUGCAAGUCGAGCGGUAAGGCCCCUUCGGGGGUACACGAGCGGCGAACGGGUGAGUAACACGNGAGCAAUCUGCCCAUCACAUCGGGAUAACUUCGGGAAACCGAAGCUAAUACCGAAUACGACCACUUCAGGCAUCUGACGGUGGUGGAAAGUUCCGGCGGUGAUGGAUGAGCUCGCGGCCUAUCAGCUUGUUGGUGGGGUAAUGGCCCACCAAGGCUUCGACGGGUAGCCGGCCUGAGAGGGUGACCGGCCACACUGGGACUGAGACACGGCCCAGACUCCUACGGGAGGCAGCAGUGGGGAAUAUUGGACAAUGGGCGAAAGCCUGAUCCAGCAACGCCGCGUGAGGGAUGACGGCCUUCGGGUUGUAAACCUCUUUCAGCAGGGACGAAGCGCAAGUGACGGUACCUGCAGAAGAAGCACCGGCCAACUACGUGCCAGCAGCCGCGGUAAUACGUAGGGUGCAAGCGUUGUCCGGAAUUAUUGGGCGUAAAGGGCUCGUAGGCGGUUUGUCGCGUCGGGAGUGAAAACUCAGGGCUUAACCCUGAGCCUGCUUCCGAUACGGGCAGACUAGAGGUAUGCAGGGGAGAAUGGAAUUCCUGGUGUAGCGGUGAAAUGCGCAGAUAUCGGGAGGAACACCAGUAGCGAAGGCGGCUCGCUGGGCCACACCUGACGCUGAGACGCGAAAGCUAGGGGAGCGAACAGGAUUAGAUACCCCCGUAGUCC